GAAGAAUUAAAUUGUUGAACCCUGCAGAUUUCAUCACAAUGGAAUAAGAAUGCUCUGUGGGUUAGAAGUUCACAGCCUGGGCUGAACAGCACUGAUCCCUGCACCUCAAGGCAGCCCUGUUAGGCUGGGGAGCAGAGGGAGCUGUGGCUUGGGGUGCCCCUCGGAGGUCCCAGGAGCGUGUGCUGUGGGGCCCAGGAGAAAGCUGGCUUUUUGGUGGUGGGCAAAGAUUGGUCUAGCCCCAGCUGAUAAGAGGGGCUACAUACUCCCUUCUCCUUAAUCAGGCUUAGAAGCAGCUGGGUGACCCUCCUGUUAGCAUGUUUUGUCAAUAGCACCCAACUCAGAUUACUUGGGAGCUUUUCUGAAACUUCAAGAAACAAUUGCUAUUCAGUUAGACUUGAUCCAGCCUCCUUCUUCCCGCACGUGUAGAUCCCUUCCGAACACUCCCGUUUGCCCCACCCCCUCUCCAAGGUGGACCCUUAAAGGCAUCUCUGCCUUUGUUGCCUCUGGUGUAAAGCUAUGUUUGGAGGCAUCAAACCCUGAGUGGGCUUGUCUUUUUCUUGCCAAAUGAAAAUUCUAACUUAAAGCAAGUUCAUUGAUUUUUUACUAGAGAUUUUGCAAAAAAAUCUGAUUCUCACUUUAAAAUGAAGGAGGAUUCAAGAAGUUAGCCUAAUUAAGAAAAGUUUAGAUGAAGUGCUUUUAAACAUAAUGGUAGAGGGAUAAGGAGGAGCUAUGGUAUAGGAAAGCUUUUUUGCAAUGAAAACAAACAGAAAAAUUUUGUAAUGAAGAGCGGUAGAAAAAAAAAAAACGAAAAACAAGUUCUGAAACCCACCCUUGAUUGUUGCCCUACCAUGGAAUGGAGUCAUGGAUGCUGCAAAUUUUGAACAAUUUCUUCAGAAAAGGAUCAAGUUAUUUGAAAAGCUGCUGAUCUCGGUUUAUUCCUAGGUCAUUGACACAGAGAAGAAAUAAGAAGAAAAGGCAGGGUAGAAUUCUAAAAAAGAAAAGGUGUCGUGCUUUUCUGCCCAGCAGGGGUGCUGUCCUCAGUGGGUCCGUCAGGACCUUCUGCCUUACCUAGAUCUGGGCUUCCUCCUCCAGGCCGGACUGAGUAGGCUGGACUGUCAGCGCAGGAGAAUGACCCUAUAAAGGACUUCAGCCGUAUCUUCUUCCCUUCUUCCCCUCUGAGACAACGACCCACGGAUCAUCUUGGGAAUUAGAGGAGGGAAGAAAGGAAAACCCACCUUAGGCAACAGAAUUUCACUGCAGCAAGAGGAAGUUGUGAGGGAAAAGUCAAAGCCCAAGCGAAAAUCUGAAGUAUGGCUUAGAGAAGCCACAAAUACGUUUCUUAUGGAGAAUCAGACAAGGGGAAAGCAAAGAAGACAGAAUAUUUUCUUGAACUUUUCCAAAGAGAAGUUUUUUUUCCUGUGAAGCUAGUAAACAUCUCUUUAAAGAAUGUGUGUGGUCACACAAGUUGAAGGACAGCAAAUUACCUCCCUGCCCCCAGAUGGUUUUAAAUGGUAGCAGACAGGAGGAGGAGUUAGGGCUCCCCUCCCACACCACAGGCCUCCCUGGCUCCAGGGCUGCUCUUCUUCUGCCGCCAGCUCUGGAAGGGUGAGGGCUGCUAUUCAGACCCAGGGAAUGCCUGCGGGCUGACUGACAGGCCCUCAAGAAGGAGCGGUCUGUAUUUCUCUAAGUGCUGGAGCUACCCCAUCUCCCUGUAAUGGCUCUGACCGGCUCAGAAAUACUAAAGCAACAGGCAUGGGGGUUCCUGGCAUACAAUAGACCACAAGUGAGCAGAGAGAGUGAAAACAAAUCCAGUGACAGGAGAGAAGAAAAUGGUCUCUUUUCCCAGAAACACAAGAAAAGAACACAGGAAGCCCUGCUCUGUGCCCUCAGCCCCCAGGAAAAUAUUGGUGUCGUGGGACUUUGGAGGUUGUAGGGCCCAAGUAGAGAUCUAAUUUUUCCUUAUGCCUUGAGCCAAGGUAAUAAGUAAAUAAGUUUAUCCUGUUUGUAGUGAAAGUGUCUGGUUGGGUUCAUUCAGACAGGGAAUACUAGACCAACAUUGAAAGUCAUGGGAACGUUGGGGAACGUUCACAAGACAUCUUUAACUUAAAAUAGGUUCACAGUACAUUGUUAACAUAAAUAAAAUGGUAUAUUGAGUAGGAUCCCAAUUUUGAAAGACAAAAUAAAGAACUCUCAAUCUGCCAAGUGAAAAGACCGGAAUGCCAGAUACAAAAUGUUAAAUGUUUUCCUCGGUGAUGGGAUUAUUUUCUUCUUUGUACUUUUCUGUGUUUUCUGAUUUUUUUCUUACAAUGAGCAUAUGUUUCUACUGUAAUCUCAGAAAUAUGAC
rnacentral:lncRNA from 1 species